AAACCAACUGGGAUUACCUUAGUAACGGCGAGUGAAGCGGUAAAAGCUCAAAUUUGAAAUCUGGUACUUUCAGUGCCCGAGUUGUAAUUUGUAGAAUUUGUCUUUGAUUAGGUCCUUGUCUAUGUUCCUUGGAACAGGACGUCAUAGAGGGUGAGAAUCCCGUUUGGCGAGGAUACCUUUUCUCUGUAAGACUUUUUCGAAGAGUCGAGUUGUUUGGGAAUGCAGCUCUAAGUGGGUGGUAAAUUCCAUCUAAAGCUAAAUAUUGGCGAGAGACCGAUAGCGAACAAGUACAGUGAUGGAAAGAUGAAAAGAACUUUGAAAAGAGAGUGAAAAAGUACGUGAAAUUGUUGAAAGGGAAGGGCAUUUGAUCAGACAUGGUGUUUUUUGCAUGCACUCGCCUCUCGUGGGCUUGGGCCUCUCAAAAAUUUCACUGGGCCAACAUCAAUUCUGGCAGCAGGAUAAAUCAUUAAGAAUGUAGCUACUUCGGUAGUGUUAUAGCUUUUUGGAAUACUGUUAGCCGGGAUUU
rnacentral:rRNA from 1 species